CCUGGUUGAUCCUGCCAGUAGUCAUAUGCUUGUCUCAAAGAUUAAGCCAUGCAUGUCUAAGUGCAUGCCAAAUUAAGGUGAAACCGCGAAUGGCUCAUUAAAUCAGUUAUGGUUCCUUAGAUCGUACCCACAUUUACUUGGAUAACUGUGGUAAUUCUAGAGCUAAUACAUGCAAACCAGAGUUCCGACCAGAGAUGGAAGGAACGCUUUUAUUAGAUCAAAACCAAUCGGUGGCGGGCUUUGCUCGUCCACCGUUUACUUUGGUGACUCUGAAUAACUUUGUGCUGAUCGCACGGUCUCGUACCGGCGACGCAUCUUUCAAAUGUCUGCCUUAUCAACUGUCGAUGGUAGGUUCUGCGCCUACCAUGGUUGUAACGGGUAACGGGGAAUCAGGGUUCGAUUCCGGAGAGGGAGCCUGAGAAACGGCUACCACAUCCAAGGAAGGCAGCAGGCGCGCAAAUUACCCACUCCCGGCACGGGGAGGUAGUGACGAAAAAUAACGAUACGGGACUCAUCCGAGGCCCCGUAAUCGGAAUGAGUACACUUUAAAUCCUUUAACGAGGAUCAAUUGGAGGGCAAGUCUGGUGCCAGCAGCCGCGGUAAUUCCAGCUCCAAUAGCGUAUAUUAAAGUUGUUGCGGUUAAAAAGCUCGUAGUUGAAUCUGUGUCGCACGCUGUCGGUUCGCCGCUCGCGGUGUUUAACUGACAUGCUCGUGAGACGUCCUACCGGUGGGCUUAGCUCCUUCGGGGGCGGUCCAACUAAUAUCCCAUCGCGGUGCUCUUUAUUGAGUGUCGAGGUGGGCCGGUACGUUUACUUUGAACAAAUUAGAGUGCUUAAAGCAGGCUAUCAUUUGCCUGAAUAUUCUGUGCAUGGAAUAAUGGAAUAGGACCUCGGUUCUAUUUUGUUGGUUUUAAGAAACCCGAGGUAAUGAUUAAUAGGGACAGAUGGGGGCAUUCGUAUUGCGACGUUAGAGGUGAAAUU
rnacentral:rRNA from 1 species